AGCCCAGCUAUAGACAUCCUUUAUUCUACCCACUGAGAAAGUUAUGCAUGUUAGAGCUCCUUUAGUAAGAAGAGAAUGCAAUCCUUUAGGAGAGGGAGAAGAUAGAGUUCAUGUCUUGAUCUAAGUAUAAGACCUUGCUCUCAAGAUGAAAAUCCAUUGGUGAUCUAAGUGAGAUGCUUUUCUACAUGAGUAUUACUAUCACCGGAAGUUAAACUUCGGCAAGAGGUUAGCAUCAUUCUUCAAGAGUUUUCUCACUUAGAGAGAGAGAGAGAGAGAGAGAGAGAGAGAGAGAGAAAAUUCUGGUAUUGAAAAUCCGGCGAAGCUCCGGCGAUGCUCCGGCGUGGAAACUUGAUAGAGGGAAUGGUUGGGUUUUGGACACAUGAAUGUUGGAAGAAGCUUGAUUUCAUUAAAUCUAAAGUAUGGUGGGUUUCUACUCUUGCUUCUUUGGUGUCCAUUGUUGGAGGUUAGAGAGAUGUGAUGGAAUUAUGAUGAUAAAGACAUGAGGUUAUGGCUGCAUAAUGCCUUGUUGGACCACUUGAGAAGUGGCUUUGGGUCUUCGCAUUGUGUCUUGGAGUAGAGUAUUUUCGAGAUCAAGAGUGGUAGACCGUGGUGGAUCUUGAAAGACUGCCUGUAGAUGUUGCUUGUCCUGUGUAAAAUUGUAGUCCUUGUCAUUGUCUAUCACUAUGUCCCUGUAUUUUGUAUUUUGGACUUCUGUAUCCCGAUUUUGUGUACUUUGUAGAGUUUGUAAUCCUGUAACUCAGUUGGGUUAUUAUAGUUUUA